rnacentral:lncRNA from 1 species
CUUUUCGAGGUAGGAGUCGACUCCUGUGAGGUAUGGUGCUGGGUGCAGAUGCAGUGUGGCUCUGGAUAGCACCUUAUGGACAGUUGUGUCCCCAAGGAAGGAUGAGAAUAGCUACUGAAGUCCUAAAGAGCAAGCCUAACUCAAGCCAUUGGCACACAGGCAUUAGACAGAAAGCUGGAAGUUGAAAUGGUGGAGUCCAACUUGCCUGGACCAGCUUAAUGGUUCUGCUCCUGGUAACGUUUUUAUCCAUGGAUGACUUGCUUGGGUAAGGACAUGAAGACAGUUCCUGUCAUACCUUUUAAAGGUAUGGAGAGUCGGCUUGACUACACUGUGUGGAGCAAGUUUUAAAGAAGCAAAGGACUCAGAAUUCAUGAUUGAAGAAAUGCAGACCUGUUAUCCUAAACUAGGGUUUUUAAUGACCACAACAAGCAAGCAUGCAGCUUACUGCUUGAAAGGUGAGGAUUGGAAAUGUUGGGACUAUUAUAAUUGCAGAAUACAUGAUGAUCUCAAUCCAACUUGAACUCUCUCACUGAUUACUUGAUGACAAUAAAAUAUCUGAUAUUCUGCA